rnacentral:rRNA from 1 species
UAAGAAAAGAGAGUUAAAAAGUACGUGAAACCGUUGAAAGGGAAGCGAAUGGAGUUAGCAAUUCGCCCCACGUACGCGCUCUCGAUCCGCAUGGACGAGACGUGUGCGGGUGCGAUGCGCGGUCGGCGCACUUCUGGCGAGCGAGCGUCAGCGUCGGUUGUCGACGGGCGACAAGGCACAAGGAAGGUAGAUGACCUACGGCCGGUUGUUAAGNCCUGUGCUCGAAUAGCUCGACGGCGACCGUGGUCGGCGACGCGUGCCUGGUGACUCGAACGAUCGGUCCGGCAUGUCGACCGUGGCGGACGGCACGCCUGUGCGUCGAACUGCUGCCGGUCGAUCGGACGAUUUCGCACACUACGCGUCGAAGAUGCUGACGGCCAUACGGCUCCAUCCGACCCGUCUUGAAACACGGACCAAGGAGUCUAACAUGUGCGCGAGUCUCCGGGUGAUCGAAACCCGUGGGCACAAUGAAAGUAAAGAUCGUCUAGACGAUUGAGGUGAGAAGCAAUUUGCGGCAUCAUCGACCGACCUAUUCUGCUCUCAGAAAGGUUUGAGUAAGAGCGUAUCUGUUGGGACCCGAAAGAUGGUGAACUAUGCCUGAAUAGGGUGAAGCCAGCGGAAACACUGGUGGAAGCUCGUAGCGAUUCUGACGUGCAAAUCGAUCGUCGAAUUUGGGUAUAGCGGCGAAAGACUAAUCGAACCAUCUAGUAGCUGGUUCCCUCCGAAGUUUCCCUCAGGAUAGCUGGAGUUCAUAUGCAGUUU